GACGAACGCUGGCGGCGUGCUUAACACAUGCAAGUCGAACGGAAAGGCCUGCUUUCCCUUGUGGAUUGCGGGUACUCGAGUGGCGAACGGGUGAGUAACACGUGAGUGAUCUGCCCCCAACUUGGGUAUAAGCCUGGGAAACUGGGUCUAAUUCCCGAUAGGACUGCAGGGUGGUGCCUGUGGUGGAAAACGAUUUUCUAGUGGUUGGGGAUGAGCUCGCGGCCUAUCAGCUUGUUGGUGGGGUAAUGGCCUACCAAGGCGGCGACGGGUAGCCGGCCUGAGAGGGUGGACGGCCACAUUGGGACUGAGAUACGGCCCAGACUCCUACGGGAGGCAGCAGUGGGGAAUACUGCACAAUGGGCGGAGGCCUGAUGCAGCGACGCCGCGUGGGGGAUGACGGCCUUCGGGUUGUAAACUCCUUUCGACCGCGAGGAAGCCACCUGGUUGGAAGGGUGGUGACGGUAGUGGUAGAAGAAGCACCGGCUAACUACGUG
rnacentral:rRNA from 1 species